GUACGCGAGCUGGGUUUAGAACGUCGUGAGACAGUUCGGUCCCUAUCUGCCGUGGGCGUUUGAGAGUUGAGAGGGGUUGCUCCUAGUACGAGAGGACCGGAGUGAACGAACCGCUGGUGUUCGGGUUGUCAUGCCAAUGGCACUGCCCGGUAGCUACGUUCGGAACGGAUAACCGCUGAAAGCAUCUAAGCGGGAAGCCGGCCACAAGAUGAGUCAUCCCUUGGACUUUAAGUCCACUAAAGGGUCGUUGGAGACCACAACGUUGAUAGGUGAGGUGUGGAAGCGCUGUGAGGCGUUAAGCUAACUCAUACUAAUUGCCCGAGAGGCUUAACCAUACAACGCCAAAG
rnacentral:rRNA from 1 species